rnacentral:rRNA from 1 species
UACGAAGGGGGCUAGCGUUGUUCGGAAUUACUGGGCGUAAAGCGCACGUAGGCGGAUACUUAAGUUAGGGGUGAAAUCCAAGGGCUCAACCCUGGAACUGCCUUUAAUACUGGGUAUCUCGAGUUCGAGAGAGGUGAGUGGAAUUCCGAGUGUAGAUGUGAAAUUCGUAGAUAUUCGGAGGAACACCAGUGGCGAAGGCGGCUCACUGGCUCGAUACUGACGCUGAGGUGCGAAAGCGUGGGGAGCAAACAGG